rnacentral:rRNA from 1 species
CCUACGGGGGGCAGCAGUGAGGAAUAUUGGUCAAUGGACGCAAGUCUGAACCAGCCAUGCCGCGUGCAGGAAGACGGCUCUACGAGUUGUAAACUGCUUUUGUACGAGGGUAAACUCAGAUACGCGUACCUGUCUGAAAGUAUCGUACGAAUAAGGAUCGGCUAACUCCGUGCCAGCAGCCGCGGUAAUACGGAGGAUUCAAGCGUUAUCCGGAUUUAUUGGGUUUAAAGGGUGCGUAGGCGGUCGGAUAAGUUAGUGGUGAAAGGCGGAGGCUCAACGUGGGAAUUGCAACUGAUACUGUGAGGCGAGAGAAUAGUUGCGGGAGGCGGAAUGUGUGGUGUAGCGGUGAAAUGCUUAGAGAUCAUGAAGAACACCGAUUGCGAAGGCAGCUUACCAAGCUACUUCUGACGUUGAGGCACGAAAGCGUGGGGAGCAAACAGGAUUAGAUACCCGAGUAGUC